CCUACGGGGGGCUGCAGUAGGGAAAUUUCGGCAAUGGGGGGAACCCUGACCGAGCAACGCCGCGUGAACGAAGAAGUUAUUCGUAAUGUAAAGUUCUUUUAACAGGGAAGAAAGAGAAAUUUGACGGUACCUGAAGAAUAAGCUCCGGCUAACUACGUGCCAGCAGCCGCGGUAAUACGUAGGGAGCGAGCGUUAUCCGGAAUUAUUGGGCGAAAAGGGUGCGUAGAUGGCAUAGUAAGUCUUUUGUAAAAAUGCUGGGCUCAACCCAGUAGGGCAAAAGAUACUGCAAAGCUAGAGUAUGACAGAGGCAAGUGGAACUACAUGUGGAGCGGUAAAAUGCGUAAAUAUAUGUAAGAACACCAGUGGCGAAGGCGGCUUGCUGGGUCGAUACUGACAUUGAGGCACGAAAGCGUGGGGAGCAAACAGGAUUAGAUACCCUAGUAGUG
rnacentral:rRNA from 1 species